rnacentral:rRNA from 1 species
AGGGCUGCGGUAAUUUGACCGUGCGAAGGUAGCAUAAUCAGUAGUCUUUUAAUUGGAGGCUGGUAUGAACGGUCGGAUGAGGGAUUAACUGUCUCUUUUUUUUUAUUUAAUUUAACUUUUAAGUGAAAAGGCUUAAAUUUUUUGAAGUGACGAUAAGACCCUAUAAAACUUUAUACUUUUUAUGUAAAUUGGGAAUUAAGUUUAAUCUUUUUUUUCUUAUUUUGUAUUUUGUUGGGGAAACUGAGAUAUAGAAUUAAUUGUCUUUUGUAUAUAAUAAAAAUAAUUAGUUUUUGAUCCAUUUUUAUUGAUUAUAAGAUUAAGUUACUUUAGGGAUAACAGCGUGAUUUUCUUUGAGAGUUCUUAUCGACAAGAAUAGUUGCGACCUCGAUGUUGAAUUAAAAUUUCUAGGUGGUGUAGGUGCUUCUUUAGUAGGUCUGUUCGACCUUUAAAAUUUU